rnacentral:rRNA from 1 species
AAGGGUUUGAUCCUGGCUCAGGAUGAAUGCUGGCGGCGUGCCUUAAGCAUGCAAGUCAAGGGGUCCCGAUUUAUCGGGAUACCGGCAGACGGGUGAGUAACGCGUAGGAAUCUACCCCUAGGAGGGACAUAGCCAUUAGAAAUGAUGGGUAAUUUCCCAUAGUCUCGCAAGAGUAAAGGACUUAACGGUCCGCCAAGGGAGGAGCCUGCGUCCUAUCAGCUUGUUGGUGAGGUAAUAGCUCACCAAGGCUAUGACGGGUAGCUGGACUGAGAGGUCGGUCAGCCACAACUGCACUGAAACACGGGCAGNACACCUACGGGUGGCAGCAACUGGGAAUAUUGCGCAAUGGGGGAAACCCUGACGCAGCGACGCCGCGUGAAGGAAGACGGCCUAAGGGUUGUAAACUUCUUUUGCUAAGCCGUUCACAGCUUAGAGAAUAAGCUUCUACUAACUACGUGCCAGAAGUCUCGGUAAUACGUAGGAAGCAAGCAUUAUCCGGAUUCAUUGGGCGUAAAGAGUGCGUAGGCGGUAUAG